UGUAACUGAAUUGUUUCUCAAUUCAACUCCAUCAAAUGAGAGUUGAAAUCAACGGCAGAUGCAGAAAAUUGUAAUACCUUCACAAUAUGAAAGAAAUGUGGGAUGUCUUUGUCUCUCAAUCUGGCCUUUUUCCUCCUCCUCCCUCCCAAGGUCGAACUGGACUAUACUUCAAAGUCGGUGACUUGCUUCCUCCCUCACCCACUGGUGCUUUAACCGCGUGUUCCACAGAGGUCAGUGUUUCAGGCCCCACUCAUGUCCUUCCUUCUGUCUAGUGACCACUCUCUUCAUUUCUCACAUCUUCUAUCUACAACUGCCUCUCUUGUAUAAGCUCUUCUUGUCUAAUGAAUAGUUCUGUAAAUUAACUAAUCUCUCAGGCUCAAGUUUCCCAAGUCUGACUUUUUGACUUUCUUCACGCUCAUAGGAUGCCAGGCUCUCUUAGGUGCUUUGUUGAAAUGAGUGGUCCCCAAUGGAAUGUGCCUGCCAGAAGUGACCCUGCCACACCUUGAUGGCUUUGGCGGCAGGGACGCUGGGAAGCAAACACAACAUUUCAAAUAGGUACUAGUGUGGCAUCGCUUGUGUCUGGACAUGCUAUCCCUCAGCAGCAGAACCACCCAUGCAAAGAAGUUUCGCUAUUCUCCUCAGGAGAGAAGAGAGAAAUAAAGAGAGAAGAGAGAGAGAGAAGAGAGACAGACUAACACAGUCUCCAGUUGCCACCUGUUCCAGACACUUCCAGAUGUGUAUGUAGAAAGAAUUGUCCCCGACCCUGCAUCGCAAGAGACGGCAGAUGGGAUGGCUGAGUCCAGCCCAGAUGCUUACGUGAUGACAAACAAUAGGUCACCAUUGUUUUAAGCUGUUAUCGUGCCGCAACAGAUAGUGAAAGCUUUUUUCUUUUUUCUUUAAUGAAGCCAGUUCCUUGGAAAUCUCCAGCCCCGCUGACUGCCCACGGUAUCUCCUGUGAGCUAUUCUCUCGCUCCUCCACAUGGCCUGCUGUCCUGAACCCUGAGUCGUGUUCGUGAACCCUGCGUUUCCUUCUCUAGCAUGGUUGCCUGUAUCUCCCGCUUCAAAUCUAGCAGCUCAUGGACCCAGUAAUUAUUUGAGGAGUGAUAAAGGAGGAAAGCCGAGAAGAGAAGCGAAGAGGAGAGUGGGUAAACUACAGGAGACAGGGCAGAGAGGAGCUGAGUCCAACUAAGCGCCGAGGAGCAGAGGGACACUGGCCAAGGCGCUUUUGCACAUUUGGCAAAAACAAAAGAAACGCCCUGCAUUGAUAACUACGAUGAUGAAAUAUAGGUCAAGCUUUAGGUCAUGUUUAACAGAGCCUUUCAAAUAUCAUCCUAUGACAAAGAGUGAGCAAGCAGUGCAGACAGCGUGGGAGCCCAACCCUGCCAUGAAUUAUAGGCACUCUAGGAUCUUUCAAGGGUCCCGACAUGGCCACCGAGGCAGGACUCCAUGACUUCCUUGUCGCUAUUCCCGGUGUGAGAAUGUAAAGUGUUAGCAUGUACCCCUGCCUGAGGGGACUCUACUGAGGCAAGAAGUACACACAGAAGAAGGAAGAGUUGAAAGACAGAGCGUAACAGUUAUGCCUCAAGUCAGAUCCUCAGAUUUCUGCACUGUAUGGCACAAAAAAUGAAGGAGUACCAAGAUUCAUCUAUGAGACAAGAAGAGAGCCAGCCAGCCACCACAAUACGUGUCACCAUGCUAUGUGCCACUUUGGCCACAUCUGCCAGGGUGCAGCAGAAAUCGCAGAGGAAGUGGCAACAUGCAUCCUGCUCUCACUGCUAGCCUGACAACCUGUUCCAGGGUGAUGGUCACAGACAAAGGGAUCAAAGUGUCAAAGCAGUCAGAGCAGUUCACCACUAAACCAGACUGUCAACAGGUCUGCCCUGGCUCGGGAAAUGAUGCAGAAGAGGGCGAAAAGAUUGUAUGAGCCACAGAGUGGGAAGGAAUUCCUUAAGACACUCUCCCCUGCUCCCCCACAGGGACUGGCUGAGGCCUUCUUGACCCUACAGUGAAUCCCCUAACCCCACA